rnacentral:SRP_RNA from 1 species
GUCACGUGGCCUGGGGGUCACGUGACCUCGAGGUGUGGGGGGUGGAGAAAAUUUUCCGCUAAAAUUAGCGGGGAAAAUUUUCCGCUAGAUUUAGUGGGGAAAAUGUUCCGCUAGAUUUAGCGGGGAAAAUGUUCUGCUAGAUUUAGCGGGAAAAAUUUUCCGCUAAAAUUAGCGGAGAAAAAUGUCCGCUAGAUUUAGCGGAGAAAACUUUCCGCUAGAUUUAGCGGGAAAAAUUUUCCGCUAAAUUUAGCGGGGAAAGUUUUCCGCU